CGUGGGUUGCUUGUGGAUUUGGAAUUAGAAAGCGUGAGCUUCUGCUGCUGCUGCUGCUGCUACAGUCCCCCCCUCUGCACCAGCUGCAUCGCUACAGUAUUUUGUCCUUCUCUCUCCAUUCCCCUUUUUCUCUCCUUGUUUCUAUAUCCGUCUGUGGGCAUAAUUCUCUUUCUCUCUCUAGAGACAUUAUUCAUUGAGCUCAUUUUUCUCUCUAUCUCUUAUGCUAACCCUGCGGUUUCCUGCCAGCUGACAGGCCUGACGUACGG
rnacentral:lncRNA from 1 species